CAUGUAUAUUGAAAUUUAUAUUCAACUACCCUAUAUUAACACAUAUAAUUAUCCUAUUUUGUAUAUCUAUAUACAACACACUCAUUUCACAACACAACCGAUUGUUACAACAACAAUUGCACAACACUCCAUUGUUAUACUAUAAACCAUAGAACUACAAACUGUGUAUAUUUACACAGCACACAGUCUAUACACAGCUCUUAUGACACACACACACAUCACUGCAGUAUGUGUGUAGAAGCAGUGUGUGUGUAUGUGUGUGCAGCAGACUACAGCAGCAGAAACAACAGCAGCAGUAGUUACAGCCUGAGAUCCACAUCUCUACUACCACACACACACACACACACACACACACAGAGUGACACACCACUAGACACUCCCUCACACACUGCCACACUGAUUAUGGAUGAUACAAUGGAGUGUCACACCUAUUGGAAGGGACCAACACACUGAAGCCCAGCUAUGUUGCUAUUGGAUACAGGGAACAACUGACAGAUUCUUCUGUACUCACCAAAAUGGGAUGACUUUAAGUUAUUAACUUGAAGAAAUCCUGUCUUUUAAUUUGGAUGUUGAAGCAUUCCUACUUUCGAUAAAACCACGAGAUAUGAUUUAACAUUCUGUGAUGGAAGUAGGCUGUGUGUGGAAUACAUACUUACUUGCAAAUGUCCUCAAUCUAUUACUACACAGUUGUGUCUGUGUAGAUCUAAGCUAUCAUGUAGA